AAAUAAGUUACAAAGGGCUUAUGGUGGAUUCCUUGGGACUGAUUGACGAUGAAGGUCGUGCCAAUCUGCGAAAAGUUACGGGGAGCCGAUAAGGGGCAACAAUCCGUAAAUGACCGAAUGGGGAAACCCACUUAAUAGAGAUAUUAAGUAUCGUUAAAUGAAUUCAUAGUUUAACGAAGUGAUACCCUCUGAAGUGAAACAUCUCAGUAGGAGGAGGAAAAGAAAACAACGUGAUUCCGUCAGUAGCGGCGAGCGAAAGCGGAACAGGCCAAACCAGAAUUCGUUCUGGGGUUUUGGGCUACAAUGUAGAAGUAAGAUAUAUAGGAGAACAAGUUGGGAAGCUUGGCAAUAAAGGGUGAUAGCCCCGUAUCCGAAAUGUAUUUUAUACUUAGUAGUACCCCGAGUACGUCGAAACACGUGAAAUUUUGACCGAAAACAGCGCGACCAUGCGCUAAGCCUAAAUACAAAUCAGUCACCGAUAGCGUAUAGUACCGUGAGGGAAAGGUGAAAAGAACCCAGAGAUGGGAGUGAAAUAGAACAUGAAACCAUAUGCCUACAACGAGUUAGAGCCCAUUAAUGGGUGAUAGCGUGCGUUUUGAAGUAUGAGCCGGCGAGUUAUUGUUGCAUGCAAGGUUAAGUUUUAGAAACGGAGCCGAAGCGAAAGCGAGUCUGAAUAGGGCGAAUUAGUAUGUAACAAUAGACCCGAAACGGGAUGAUCUAGUCAUGAGCAGGUUGAAGGUAGAGUAACAUCUAUUGGAGGACCGAACCCACUUUCGUUGAAACGACAGGGGAUGACUUGUGACUAGCGGUGAAAUUCCAAUCGAAUUCCGUGAUAGCUGGUUCUCAUCGAUAUAAUUUUAGGAUUAGCGUUAGAUUAUUGACAAUGUGGAGGUAAAGCUCUGACUGACUGAUGGCGCCAUCUAGGCGUACUGAUUUCAAUUAAACUCUGAAUGCCAUAUUGUCUAUUCUAGCAGUCAGACUGUGGGGGAUAAGCUUCAUAGUCGUGAGGGAAAGAGCCCAGAUCAUUAGCUAAGGUCCCAAAUUUACACUAAGUGGAAAAGGAUGUUGAGAAUCUUAAACACCAAGGAUGUUGGCUUAGAAGCAGCCAUCGUUUAAAGAGUGCGUAACAGCUCACUUGUCGAGAUUCUCUGCGCCGAAGAUUCAACGGGGCUAAGUGUAAAACCGAAGCUAUGGGAUUAAAAUAAAUUUAUUUAUUUUAAUCGGUAGAUGAGCGUUGUAUUCUGCAAUGAAGGUAAAGUGUGAACAUUACUGGAGCGUAUACAAGUGAGAAUGCCGGCGUGAGUAACGAAUGAAAGUGAGAAUCUUUCAAGCCGAAUUGACUAAGAUUUCCAGGACUAGGGUCGUCCUUCCUGGGUUAGUCGGAACCUAAGGUGAGGCCAAGCGGCGUAACCGAUGGAAAACAAGUUAAUAUUCUUGUACUAGGCAGGUGAAUGAUGGAGUAACGGAGGAGGUUAUUACAGGCCAGUUAAUGGAUUCUGGUCUAAGUGUUUAGUUUUGUCAACUGUCAAAUGCGUUGACUAUAAGAACAAGACACGAAUGCGUUGAACACUUCGGUAAGUAAACAAGCUGUAUAUAUCACACUUCCAAGAAAAACUUCUAGUAUUAAUCACCUAUCUAUCCGUAUUGAGAACGAACACACGUGGUCAAGGAGAAUAUCCUAAGGCUAGCGAGUUAACUAUUGUUAAGGAACUCUGCAAAUUAACCCCGUACGUUAGCAAUAAGGGGUGCUCAGUUAAUGAGCCUCAGUAAAGAGCGAGUGGGAACUGUUUAACAAAAACACAGCUUUAUGCUAAGUCGUAAGACGAUGUAUAUGAGGUGACGCCUGCCCAGUGCUGGAAGGUUAAAGAAGUGGGUUAGCAGCAAUGCGAAGCCCGUGACUGAAGCCCCAGUGAACGGCGGCCGUAACUAUAACGGUCCUAAGGUAGCGAAAUUCCUUGUCGGGUAAAUUCCGUCCCGCUUGAAUGGCGUAAUCAUCUCUUGACUGUCUCGACAAUAGACUCGGUGAAAUCCUGGUAUGGGUGAAGACGCCCAUUUGGUGCGAUUGGACGGAAAGACCCCAUGAAGCUUUACUGUAACUUAAUAUUGUGAAAACAUGUUGUAUUUAGAGCAUAGGCGGGAGACUUUGAAUGAUAGGCGCUAGUUUAUCAGGAGUCACCAGUGUAAUACCGCCAUUACAACAUCUUUUCGCUAACUUAUAUCAGUCAUCCUGAUAAAGGACAGUGUUAGGCGGGCAGUUUGACUGGGGCGGUCGCCUCCCAAAAUGUAACGGAGGCGCGCAACGGUACCCUCAGCACGGUUGGAAAUCGUGUCUUGAGCGUAAUGGUAUAAGGGUGCUUGACUGCGAGACUUACUAGUCGAGCAGGGAAGAAAUUCGGUCAUAGUGAUCCGGCGGUUCUGAAUGGAAAGGCCGUCGCUCAACGGAUAAAAGCUACUCUGGGGAUAACAGGCUGAUACUAUCCAAGAGUUCAUAUCGACGAUAGUGUUUGGCACCUCGAUGUCGACUCAUCUCAUCCUGGGGCUGUAGUAGGUCCCAAGGGUUCGGCUGUUCGCCGAUUAAAGAGAUACGUGAGUUGGGUUCAAACCGUCGUGAGACAGGUUGGUCCCUAUCUGUCGUACCCGCAGGAAGAUUGAGAAGAGCUGCUCCUAGUACGAGAGGAUCGGAGUGGAGAUACCUCUAAUGUUUCAGUUGUUUUGCCAAAAGCACAGCUGGGUAGUUACGUAUCGUCAGGAUAAACGCUGAAAGCAUAUAAGCGUGAAACCUUCUUCAAGAUAAAUCUUCCAUCCCCGCAAGGGGUUAAGAAUCGUUGUAGACUACAACGUUGAUAGGAUGCAUGUGUAAGCAGAGCGAUCUGUUAAGCUGAGCAUUACUAAUAAUUCGAGAUACUUUUUUAA
rnacentral:rRNA from 1 species